rnacentral:rRNA from 1 species
GACGAACGCUGGCGGCGUGCUUAACACAUGCAAGUCGAACGGUGAAGCGCCUUCCUUUUUGGUGGGUGUGGAUGAGUGGCGAACGGGUGAGUAACACGUGAGUAACCUGCCCCCUUCUUCUGGAUAACCGCAUGAAAGUGUGGCUAAUACGGGAUAUUCUGGGUCUGUCGCAUGAUGGGUCUGGGAAAGAUAUUGUUUCGGUGGGGGAUGGGCUCGCGGCCUAUCAGCUUGUUGGUGGGGUGAUGGCCUACCAAGGCGGUGACGGGUAGCCGGCCUGAGAGGGUGGACGGUCACACUGGGACUGAGACACGGCCCCGACUCCUACGGGAGGCAGCAGUGGGGAAUAUUGCACAAUGGGCGCAAGCCUGAUGCAGCGACGCCGCGUGGGGGAUGGAGGCCUUCGGGUUGUGAACCUCUUUCGCCAGUGAAGCAGGCCUGCCUCGUUUGUGGGUGGGUUGACGGUAGCUUGAUAAGAAGCGCCGGCUAACUACGUG